AUAUAUUAUACCUUAACUUGCCACCAUUUUUUCACCAACUUAUUUAAAAUUUUGUGGUGAGAAAAUAAAAUAAUUUCUUUUUACAUACAUGUUGCAUUUUCGCUGGGUAUUUUGUACAUUUGAUAAGUGCCACUGUCAUAAAUUCCCCCUAAGUAUGCUCAGUUACCUCUACUGAGUAAAACAAUAAGCCCAAUGUAUGACCUAGACACUAUUUUGUGAAGUUAUAGUGUUGUUAAAGAGACGUGACAAGUUCAGGUUUUUAAGUGUGAAUUUACAUGGAGGGUUUUAAUGGGUCCGUAUUCUAUUUUAAAAUAUGUUAGGCUGCUUUUUCCAACUACCCCAAAAGGGAAUACUAUUUCUUAAAGAACACACCUGAGGGUAUUUCAAAAGGCAAAUUUUGAACCUUAUGUGGGAUAAUUUUUCCGCUAGCUUGUAUCAAGUGUAGUGGUAAUAAGCAUUUUUUUCUACCUUUGACACACACUGAGUUUGUACUGUAUAUUUUGCAAACCUUAUGUGUGCUACAUCUUUACAAUACUUCAUAUGUUGCUCAGCUAUGUUGUGGAGUACAGCAAUACCCCUCCCCUCUAUAUACCUUUGCCAGGUAUAUGUGGACGUUGAAGGAGCACAUUUCAG